GAGGAAGGCGGGUAAUUGGGUGUUAGUUGAAAGCCUUAUCCAGCUGGUUGGCUCUCUUCUCUCUCUUUCCUUUCUGGUCACCAUGAGGUGAGUGAGCAAGGCCUCUGCUACAAACUCCUACCACACAACCACGCACUGAUGCCUCAGAAACUGCAAGCCUCCCCUGAUGAUUAUGUAUCUCCUAGGUAUUUCAUUCUCCUGAGAGGAAGGUAACCCACUGUUCUCGCCAGACUCCUCAGCUUUUCUGUUGAUUCUGUGAAUUACUGUGAGUUGUUCUAGUAAGUUCUUUCACACUUGGUCAUCCUGUUCUUGUUGCUUAUGGUAGGAGUUUGUAGAGUAGGCCAUUAACAGCAGCUUUGUAUAAAAAUGUCAACAAUUGUUUGGUAACAUGAAAUACUCUAUGGGAAGUUGAUUGAAUGUUAAUUUUAUUUGACAUUAUUUGCCUAGGUUGCAGACUAAGAUUCAAAUUGUUUCAAAAUGGGAAACACAUCUAUUGUUUCUUUUCUCCCACAUUUUAACUAAUCUUAACCCUUAUUUCACCUUCAAAAAUACAAACACCACUUACAAAGGAGGCUUGCAUAUCUAAAUGACAACAUAUUCCUGUGUAAGAGAGUGAACGUUAAAAAUCAUUUUCUAAACUGAAAACAAAGCUCAUCUCUAAUCUAUCUCAUAAUCAUCAUCGUCGUCAUCCACGCUGAGUCUGAUGCUGGAAGAGUCUUCCAGUUUUGAUUUCUUCUUGGUCUCUUUGCUUUUCUCGUUCUGGCGUAUGUGAUGCUCACACUGUCUCGCGAUCUUCUUGGAAGACAUCCAGCUCUCCCCUUGUCGCUCCGCUGGGGCGGCACACUGGCCUCCUUUCACAUCCGUGCCCUUGGCCUUCAGGACUUCCCUGGCUCGUAGGAGGCUACAUGUGCAGUUCCAGGGAUUUCCAUCCAGGUACAGGUGCCUGAGUCGGGGCAACCCCUCCAGCGCCUUGAGGUCUAAGGCAGAGAUCUUGUUGUUCCUCAGGUUGAGAACCUGAAGCAGUUUGAGGUCCCUGAGCUCCCUCUCGGCCAUGUCCUGGAUGGCAUUGCCCUUGAGGUCCAGCCUGGCCAGGGUCUUAGGGAGCCUGCAAAGUUAAGAAACAGCAUGAGAGAGGAUGCUACUACCAUCAACCAUCGUUCAGAACCUCUAAGACAACAGGCAGCAGCCGCCUCUCUAUACAGCUCCAUCUCUUCUCAAGGCAGGAAACAAGCUGUAUGAUUUGAUGUAUGAAAUUAUAAAAUGAUUUGUUUUUAAACUUUAAAACAUUCUUCUCCAAAAGAUAUACUAAAAGCUGUUGAGGAAAUCAUCAGUUGGUUCCAUUUCAGAAACCAUGUAAUGAAAUGUAACAAGUUUAAAUAAUGUCAUGACUCCAGCCAGGAAAUAAUAUGGAAAAUGAAUAAAGAUUUAUUUGCAAGUGUUUGUAGCAUGUUGAAUUAUAACAACAAGAAGCAAUAAAAUCCUAAAGUCCAAUAUUUUAAAAGUUAUAAAAUAAUGAGCUAUUAUGUGAUUAUAAAAUACUAUCAAAAAUUUAAAAUGCUAAUUGUUUUUUAAAUUAGUAAAAAUUUAAAUUUUUUUAGGUUAAAAAAAACUUCUAUGGCUCAAAAAUCUAGAUGCUAUUAAAAACUGAUAAAUCAAUAAACUUAAAAAUUUUGUAUUGCAAAAGCUGUGUUCAAAGUCAAAAGACAAAAGAAGGGAAUGCCUCUGCAGCUCCGUCACACACGGUAAUCUCCCUAAUGCAGGAGGCAUCUUAAAGCGGAGACAAGACAAUUGGAAAACAACAAGGAAAGUGGACAGGAAAGAGUAAGUAGAAACUCACUGUUCAAAUCGUCUUCUACAUACUAUAAGUGUUAAUGUCUCUUUGGGGGAAAAUCACAUUUUGAUGUUUUGUACUGGGCACAGCUAUCACACUACACAAUAAAAGUUCCUUUCCAGCUCAGAAAAAAAAAUCCAUAUAUAUUAAAGAUAAUUCUUCCUUUCCUGGUGGGUGCCAUGGAAGCCAAAAACUGUUUUAUUAAUUCUAAGAAACUUGAUAAAGAUACUGGGCAGGAUGAGAAGGCCUUUUUUAAAUGAAGUGUUGAAAGGUUUUUAAAUUUUUUAAAUAGAGAUAAUAAACAACAUGCUAUGCCUUAAAAGUAAAUGGGGGGGGGGGCAACCAGAUGACUUAGGUGGUGAAGGUGCCCGCUGCCAAGCCUGACAACUUGAAUUCAAUGCCCAGGACUCACAUUACAGAAGGAAAGAAUCAACUCUGGCUAGCUGUCCUCUACCCUCCACACAUGAGCCUUGAUUUGUGCUCCACAUAAACACAUGCACACAGAUGUAAAUUUAUAACUAGAUUAUGAGUAGUUAUGGGGAUAGCUGAGUAGUUAAGGGGAUGACUGAGUAGUUAAGGGGAUGGCUGAGCAGUUAAGGGGAUGGCUGAGUAGUUAAGGGGAUGGCUGAGUAGUUAAGGGGAUGACUGAGCAGUUAAGGGGAUGGCUGAGCAGUUAAGGGGAGGGCUGAGCAGUUAAGGAGAUGGCUGAGCAGUUAAGGGGAUGGCUGAGCAGUUAAGGGGAUGGCUGAGCAGUUAAGGGGAUGACUGAGUAGUUAAGGGGAUGGGUGAGUAGUUAAGGGGAUGACUGAGCAGUUAAGGGGAUGGCUGAGUAGUUAAGGGGAUGACUGAGCAGUUAAGGGGAUGACUGAGCAGUUAAGGGGGUGGCUGAGCAGUUAAGGGGAUGACUGAGCAGUUAAGGGGGUGGCUGAGCAGUUAAGGGGGUGGCUGAGCAGUUAAGGGGAUGGCUGAGCAGUUAAGGAAACAGUUGAAGUGAAUUGUGUAUGGAGGGAAGAAUAUUUGGAAAGGGAAACUGAAGUGUGAGUGGUGAAGAGACAGGAAGAGAAAGAAGAAAAUAGAAGGACGGGAAGGAAGAGUUAAAGAGAGGGAAAAGGUUGGGGAGGAAGAAAGGAAGGGAAAGGAGGGGCCAGAAGAAGAGAAGAAAAAGAAGAAAGCAGAUGCAUAGCCGAAAACAGAAAGGAAGACCAAGGCUGAUAGAUUCACCCUCUCAUACAGACUCGGAUACGCAGAGCCUGCUUAAGCCGGUGGGUCAUAGAGCUGAGAAGAAUAUGAGCUUCCUAAUAAGUAAUAAGAAUAUGAACUUCCUAAUAAGUAAUUAUAGAUUUUAAUUUUUUCCCACAUGAGUGCUACUUUGAUGCUUUUCAAACUAAAACUAUCUUACCAAAUAUUCCCCAUCCAUGUUUUCUGGUGUCCGGGCCAGUGGCUACCUAUGCCCAGUCAGCCAGUUAUGCACACAGCAUAUGUAGAAAUCAAGACACACUUUUCACAGUGUAUUCAUAUUAUGUUUGUCAGUUUCAACAGCACCUGUGUGUACUGUUCCACCAGCAAAAUGAAUUCUCUAUGGAUUCGGUUUGCAUGCUGGGGAUUCUCGACCACUGUUAGAACUUCUGUCCCAAAGCCCUAGGUUUGUUUUCUGACUGAUGACUCAGGUGGACAGCUGAUGGGUUCCAGUGCCUGCAGGAAUCUGCAGUAAAUGACAUCAUUCACUCACCUCAGAGGUAUGGACAACAGCAGAUUCUGCUCCAGGGCCAGGUUGGACAGCUGAGAACACCUCUGAAGGGCUCCAGCCUCGAACAAGCUGACGACAUUGUUGUCUAGAAACAGGUGUUUCAGGUCUCGGAGAUCCUGGAAUUCUGGUGCCGUCACUUUCUGAAUGAAGUUACCGCUACAAUCAAGCUUCUGUAACCUCGGUGGGAGCCUGGGCGGCAACAUUUGAAGCCGGUUUUGAGAGACCUCAAGAGUAGUUAAAUUGUUCCAGGGUCCUUAAAGCACUCAGGGUUUUGAAGGUGUCAUUUUCUACGGACUCAGUUCCACUGGCCAGCAGGAUAAAAUCUUCCAGAGCCAACAGUCCGGUGAAGUUGGAGCGCUACAAAGCAGCAGCGGCGGCAGCAGCAGCAGUAACAGUGGUGAUGACAGAGAGAAGGGGGAGGACAAGAAAACGGAGACAUAAAUUAAGAUUCUGUCAAAAAAAUGCACACAUUAUCGUUACAACACUAGUGAUAUUUGAGACUUCCCUUUGAGUUUUCUUCAUUAUCUUUUAGAAUAAUAAUUAAAAAUCAAGUCUAGAUAA